rnacentral:rRNA from 1 species
UACGGAGGAUCCAAGCGUUAUCCGGAUUCAUUGGGUUUAAAGCGCGCGUAGGCGGCCCGGUAAGUCCGUUGUGAAAGUCAAAGGCUCAACCUUUGAACGCCGAUGGAUACUGCCGGGCUAGAGUCCGGAAGAGGCGAGUGGAAUUCCUGGUGUAGCGGUGGAAUGCGCAGAUAUCAGGAGGAACACCAAUAGCGAAGGCAGCUCGCUGGGACGGUACUGACGCUGAGGCGCGAAAGCGUGGGGAGCGAACAGG